rnacentral:rRNA from 1 species
GGGUUGUGAGGUUAAGCGACUAAGCGUACACGGUGGAUGCCCUGGCAGUCAGAGGCGAUGAAGGACGUGCUAAUCUGCGAUAAGCGUCGGUAAGGUGAUAUGAACCGUUAUAACCGGCGAUUUCCGAAUGGGGAAACCCAGUGUGUUUCGACACACUAUCAUUAACUGAAUCCAUAGGUUAAUGAGGCGAACCGGGGGAACUGAAACAUCUAAGUACCCCGAGGAAAAGAAAUCAACCGAGAUUCCCCCAGUAGCGGCGAGCGAACGGGGAGCAGCCCAGAGCCUGAAUCAGUGUGUGUGUUAGUGGAAGCGUCUGGAAAGGCGCGCGAUACAGGGUGACAGCCCCGUACACAAAAAUGCACAUGCUGUGAGCUCGAUGAGUAGGGCGGGACACGUGGUAUCCUGUCUGAAUAUGGGGGGACCAUCCUCCAAGGCUAAAUACUCCUGACUGACCGAUAGUGAACCAGUACCGUGAGGGAAAGGCGAAAAGAACCCCGGCGAGGGGAGUGAAAAAGAACCUGAAACCGUGUACGUACAAGCAGUGGGAGCCUCUUUUAUGGGGUGACUGCGUACCUUUUGUAUAAUGGGUCAGCGACUUAUAUUCUGUAGCAAGGUUAACCGAAUAGGGGAGCCGAAGGGAAACCGAGUCUUAACUGGGCGUUAAGUUGCAGGGUAUAGACCCGAAACCCGGUGAUCUAGCCAUGGGCAGGUUGAAGGUUGGGUAACACUAACUGGAGGACCGAACCGACUAAUGUUGAAAAAUUAGCGGAUGACUUGUGGCUGGGGGUGAAAGGCCAAUCAAACCGGGAGAUAGCUGGUUCUCCCCGAAAGCUAUUUAGGUAGCGCCUCGUGAAUUCAUCUCCGGGGGUAGAGCACUGUUUCGGCAAGGGGGUCAUCCCGACUUACCAACCCGAUGCAAACUGCGAAUACCGGAGAAUGUUAUCACGGGAGACACACGGCGGGUGCUAACGUCCGUCGUGAAGAGGGAAACAACCCAGACCGCCAGCUAAGGUCCCAAAGUCAUGGUUAAGUGGGAAACGAUGUGGGAAGGCCCAGACAGCCAGGAUGUUGGCUUAGAAGCAGCCAUCAUUUAAAGAAAGCGUAAUAGCUCACUGGUCGAGUCGGCCUGCGCGGAAGAUGUAACGGGGCUAAACCAUGCACCGAAGCUGCGGCAGCGACACUAUGUGUUGUUGGGUAGGGGAGCGUUCUGUAAGCCUGUGAAGGUGUGCUGUGAGGCAUGCUGGAGGUAUCAGAAGUGCGAAUGCUGACAUAAGUAACGAUAAAGCGGGUGAAAAGCCCGCUCGCCGGAAGACCAAGGGUUCCUGUCCAACGUUAAUCGGGGCAGGGUGAGUCGACCCCUAAGGCGAGGCCGAAAGGCGUAGUCGAUGGGAAACAGGUUAAUAUUCCUGUACUUGGUGUUACUGCGAAGGGGGGACGGAGAAGGCUAUGUUGGCCGGGCGACGGUUGUCCCGGUUUAAGCGUGUAGGCUGGUUUUCCAGGCAAAUCCGGAAAAUCAAGGCUGAGGCGUGAUGACGAGGCACUACGGUGCUGAAGCAACAAAUGCCCUGCUUCCAGGAAAAGCCUCUAAGCAUCAGGUAACAUCAAAUCGUACCCCAAACCGACACAGGUGGUCAGGUAGAGAAUACCAAGGCGCUUGAGAGAACUCGGGUGAAGGAACUAGGCAAAAUGGUGCCGUAACUUCGGGAGAAGGCACGCUGAUAUGUAGGUGAAGUCCCUCGCGGAUGGAGCUGAAAUCAGUCGAAGAUACCAGCUGGCUGCAACUGUUUAUUAAAAACACAGCACUGUGCAAACACGAAAGUGGACGUAUACGGUGUGACGCCUGCCCGGUGCCGGAAGGUUAAUUGAUGGGGUCAGCGCAAGCGAAGCUCUUGAUCGAAGCCCCGGUAAACGGCGGCCGUAACUAUAACGGUCCUAAGGUAGCGAAAUUCCUUGUCGGGUAAGUUCCGACCUGCACGAAUGGCGUAAUGAUGGCCAGGCUGUCUCCACCCGAGACUCAGUGAAAUUGAACUCGCUGUGAAGAUGCAGUGUACCCGCGGCAAGACGGAAAGACCCCGUGAACCUUUACUAUAGCUUGACACUGAACAUUGAGCCUUGAUGUGUAGGAUAGGUGGGAGGCUUAGAAGUGUGGACGCCAGUCUGCAUGGAGCCGACCUUGAAAUACCACCCUUUAAUGUUUGAUGUUCUAACGUUGACCCGUAAUCCGGGUUGCGGACAGUGUCUGGUGGGUAGUUUGACUGGGGCGGUCUCCUCCUAAAGAGUAACGGAGGAGCACGAAGGUUGGCUAAUCCUGGUCGGACAUCAGGAGGUUAGUGCAAUGGCAUAAGCCAGCUUGACUGCGAGCGUGACGGCGCGAGCAGGUGCGAAAGCAGGUCAUAGUGAUCCGGUGGUUCUGAAUGGAAGGGCCAUCGCUCAACGGAUAAAAGGUACUCCGGGGAUAACAGGCUGAUACCGCCCAAGAGUUCAUAUCGACGGCGGUGUUUGGCACCUCGAUGUCGGCUCAUCACAUCCUGGGGCUGAAGUAGGUCCCAAGGGUAUGGCUGUUCGCCAUUUAAAGUGGUACGCGAGCUGGGUUUAGAACGUCGUGAGACAGUUCGGUCCCUAUCUGCCGUGGGCGCUGGAGAACUGAGGGGGGCUGCUCCUAGUACGAGAGGACCGGAGUGGACGCAUCACUGGUGUUCGGGUUGUCAUGCCAAUGGCACUGCCCGGUAGCUAAAUGCGGAAGAGAUAAGUGCUGAAAGCAUCUAAGCACGAAACUUGCCCCGAGAUGAGUUCUCCCUGACUCCUUGAGAGUCCUGAAGGAACGUUGAAGACGACGACGUUGAUAGGCCGGGUGUGUAAGCGCAGCGAUGCGUUGAGCUAACCGGUACUAAUGAACCGUGAGGCUUAACCUUACAACGCCGAAGCUGUU